AUUGAACGCUGGCGGCAUGCUUUACACAUGCAAGUCGAACGGCAGCACGGGCUUCGGCCUGGUGGCGAGUGGCGAACGGGUGAGUAAUACAUCGGAACGUACCCAGAAGUGGGGGAUAACGUAGCGAAAGUUACGCUAAUACCGCAUACGAUCUAUGGAUGAAAGCUGGGGACCGCAAGGCCUUUUGCUCCUGGAGCGGCCGAUAUCUGAUUAGCUAGUUGGUGAGGUAAAGGCUCACCAAGGCGACGAUCAGUAGCUGGUCUGAGAGGACGACCAGCCACACUGGAACUGAGACACGGUCCAGACUCCUACGGGAGGCAGCAGUGGGGAAUUUUGGACAAUGGGCGCAAGCAUGAUCCAGCAAUGCCGCGUGAGUGAAGAAGGCCUUCGGGUUGUAAAGCUCUUUUGUCAGGGAAGAAACGGUAGAGGCUAAUAUCCUUUGCUAAUGACGGUACCUGAAGAAUAAGCACCGGCUAACUACGUG
rnacentral:rRNA from 1 species